GAUGAAGAACGUAGUGAAAUGCGAUAAGUAGUGUGAAUUGCAGAAUUCAGUGAAUCAUCGAAUCUUUGAACGCACAUUGCGCCCUUUGGUAUUCCUUAGGGCAUGCCUGUUCGAGCGUCAUUUAAACCUUCAAGCUAAGCUUGGUGUUGGGUGACUGUCCGCUUCACGGCGGACUCGCCUCAAAAUUAUUGGCGGCCGGUACAUUGGCUUCGAGCGCAGCAGAAACGCGAACUCGGGCCCGUCGUAUUGGCUCCCAGAAGCUAUCUUCACAAUUUUGACCUCGGAUCAGGUAGGGAUACCCGCUGAACUUAAGCAUAUCAAUAACGGAGGA
rnacentral:misc_RNA from 1 species